rfam:Bacillus litoralis strain C44 Scaffold10, whole genome shotgun sequence.
UUAAACAAGUAGAGGCACCCGCUUCUCACCUGAUUGACACAUCCGUUUGUAGUUGGCAGGUUACGAUGAUCUUUUAUGUAUACAAUCGUAGUGUGGGUGUCUAAGGCAUCCACACUUUUUUAUUUUC